CUCCGAGGGGCGUGGUUCUCGGAGGGGCUGAAGGCUCCUGACGGCAGUCUGGCGCUGGAUGCUAGACUCCGCACCCGUGGGGGGGCGCUCGCUGUGUGGCUCUGGGCUGGUUUGCACACCUCUCUGAGUUUCAAUGGCCACUAGCAAAAUGAUAGCUCUUGGUGUGGACUGUAAGCCAGGGCUGGGACUCCGGCUUCCUCACUAGGCUGCUUUGGUAAACUGGUGAUAAUAAUAGUACAACGUCCUGGGUUGUUAGGAAGAUUAAGCGAGUUAAUAUUUGUAGGGUGUUUACAACCGCGCCUGUUACGUGUAAAGUGGCAUUAAGUUCAUUAGAGAGACCACGGGAGAUCUGGCCCCGAAGUUGAAUUCUCCCGCUCCAUGCUCCGUGUUCCUGUGCCCAAGCCCAAGCUCCUCUUUUUGUGCCUAGACACCAUACCCACCACUUUUCUAAGCUGUAAAAGCGCCACCUCCCUCUAUUUCUGACUGUAUGGUGACACCUAAGUGUGAAGAUCAGAGAGGCUGGGUGUCUAAAUGGUUAAGGACACAGAACACCUUGGCAUUGAACCAGCUCACCUAUAAACCGCCUCUAGCUGGUCCUGGGCAAGCUCCCAGCCAAUGAACGGCGGUUUUCUCCUGGGUAAAAUAAAAUUCGUAUCAAACCCUGGGCUGUGAGAAUUGCAGGUGAGCUCCUGGAGUCGUGAGUCUUACAGUUGAUAGCCUCUGUGGUCCCUCCAGUCUGUUUGUUUCAUCUAGGUUCAGCUGAAGGCGGGAUCUGGGAGAAGUUAAUUUCUGUUCGAGACAGGGAGCUGAGCUGUGUGCCAGGUGCUGGCCUAGGGGGGGCAUCCUUGUUGGGGUGGAUCCCCGAAAAGUAAAGCAUGUGGAACUGGGGCCUCUGAGAUUGGAGAGAGGAUUGGAUGUGGCCCCAAGACCUCUGUUCAUCAAGCCUCAGGAAGGUCAGAGUGCUAGGAUCAGAAGUCUGGUGUUAUCAUCUCCAGAGGUGGUGUCCUAGGCCAGUCUUCCCUGUGGACUUUUCUCUCUCUAAAAUGGGUCCUGAAUAUAUAAGUUGUUGGGCUCUGAGAUCUGAGUUGCUGCAUGUUCAUUCUAGAUUGAGGACACUCAGGUUUCACAUCUUCAGUUUGCUACUACCUGCAUGUCAUAUUUUAUUGUUGUUUGUCAGCUUGAUACAAGCUAGAGUUAUCCGGGAA